rnacentral:rRNA from 1 species
UGGUGGGGUAAGGGCCUGCCAAGGCUACGAUCCAUAGCUGAUUUGAGAGGAUGAUCAGCCACAUUGGGACUGAGACACGGCCCAAACUCCUACGGGAGGCAGCAGUGAGGAAUAUUGGACAAUGGGGGCAACCCUGAUCCAGCAAUGCCAUGUGUGUGAAGAAGGCCUUAGGGUUGUAAAGCACUUUAGUUGGGGAAGAAAGCUUUGAGGUUAAUAGCCUUGAGGAAAAGGACGUUACCCAAAGAAUAAGCACCGGCUAACUCCGUGCCAGCAGCCGCGGUAAUACGGGGGGUGCAAGCGUUAAUCGGAAUUACUGGGCGUAAAGGGUCUGUAGGUGGUUUGUUAAGUCAGAUGUGAAAGCCUAGGGCUCAACCUUGGAACUGCAUUUGAUACUGGUAAACUAGAGUACGGUAGAGGAAUGGGGAAUUUCUGGUGUAGCGGUGAAAUGCGUAGAGAUCAGAAGGAACACCAAUGGCGAAGGCAACAUUCUGGACCGAUACUGACACUGAGGGACGAAAGCGUGGGGAUCAAACAGGAUUAGAUACCCUGGUAGUCCACGCUGUAAACGAUGAGUACUAGCUGUUGGAGUCGGUGUAAAGGCUCUAGUGGCGCAGCUAACGCGAUAAGUACUCCGCCUGGGGACUACGGCCGCAAGGCUAAAACUCAAAGGAAUUGACGGGGACCCGCACAAGCGGUGGAGCAUGUGGUUUAAUUCGAUGCAACGC